rnacentral:rRNA from 1 species
CCUACGGGGUGCAGCAGUGAGGAAUAUUGGUCAAUGGACGAGAGUCUGAACCAGCCAAGUAGCGUGAAGGAUGACUGCCCUAUGGGUUGUAAACUUCUUUUAUAAAGGAAUAAAGUGAGGCACGUGUGCCUCUUUGUAUGUACUUUAUGAAUAAGGAUUGGCUAACUCCGUGCCAGCAGCCGCGGUAAUACGGAGGAUCCGAGCGUUAUCCGGAUUUAUUGGGUUUAAAGGGAGCGUAGAUGGGUUGUUAAGUCAGUUGUGAAAGUUUGCGGCUCAACCGUAAAAUUGCAGUUGAUACUGGCAGCCUUGAGUACAGUAGAGGUAGGCGGAAUUCGUGGUGUAGCGGUGAAAUGCUUAGAUAUCACGAAGAACUCCGAUUGCGAAGGCAGCCUGCUAAACUGCCACUGACACUGAUGCUCGAAAGUGUGGGUAUCAAACAGGAUUAGAUACCCGGGUAGUC